GAUCAUGGCUCAGGAUGAACGCUAGCUACAGGCUUAACACAUGCAAGUCGAGGGGAAACGACAUCGAAAGCUUGCUUUUGAUGGGCGUCGACCGGCGCACGGGUGAGUAACGCGUAUCCAACCUUCCCGCAACUGGGGGAUAACCUUGCGAAAGUAAGACUAAUACCCCAAUGACGUCCAUAGAAGACAUCUGAAAUGGAUUAAAGAUUUAUCGGUGAUGGAUGGGGAUGCGUCUGAUUAGCUUGUUGGCGGGGUAACGGCCCACCGAGCCGACGAUCGGUAGGGGUUCUGAGAGGAAGGUCCCCCACAUUGGAACUGAGACACGGUCCAAACUCCUACGGGAGGCAGCAGUGAGGAAUAUUGGUCAAUGGACGUAAGUCUGAACCAGCCAAGUAGCGUGCAGGAUGACGGCCCUAUGGGUUGUAAACUGCUUUUAUGCGGGGAUAAAGUGUGGGACGUGUCCCAUAUUGCAGGUACUGCAUGAAUAAGGACCGGCUAAUUCCGUG
rnacentral:rRNA from 1 species